ACGAACGCUGGCGGCGUGCUUAACACAUGCAAGUCGAACGGAAAGGCCCUGCUUGCAGGGUACUCGAGUGGCGAACGGGUGAGUAACACGUGGGUGAUCUGCCCUGCACUUCGGGAUAAGCCUGGGAAACUGGGUCUAAUACCGGAUAGGAGCCGUUUUUAGUGUGAUGGUUGGAAAGUUUUUUCGGUGUAGGAUGAGCUCGCGGCCUAUCAGCUUGUUGGUGGGGUAAUGGCCUACCAAGGCGGCGACGGGUAGCCGGCCUGAGAGGGUGGACGGCCACAUUGGGACUGAGAUACGGCCCAGACUCCUACGGGAGGCAGCAGUGGGGAAUAUUGCACAAUGGGCGCAAGCCUGAUGCAGCGACGCCGCGUGGGGGAUGACGGCCUUCGGGUUGUAAACUCCUUUCGCUAGGGACGAAGCUUUUUGUGACGGUACCUAGAUAAGAAGCACCGGCUAACUACGUG
rnacentral:rRNA from 1 species